GAUGAACGCUGGCGGCGUGCCUAAUACAUGCAAGUCGAGCGAACGGACGAGACGCUUGCUUCUCUGAUGUUAGCGGCGGACGGGUGAGUAACACGUGGAUAACCUACCUAUAAGACUGGGAUAACUUCGGGAAACCGGAGCUAAUACCGGAUAAUAUUUUGAACCGCAUGGUUCAAAAGUGAAAGACGGUCUUGCUGUCACUUAUAGAUGGAUCCGCGCUGCAUUAGCUAGUUGGUAAGGUAACGGCUUACCAAGGCAACGAUGCAUAGCCGACCUGAGAGGGUGAUAGGCCACACUGGAAGUGAGACACGGUCAAGACUCCUACGGGAGGCAGCAGUAGGGAAUCUGCCGCAAUGGGCGAAAGCCUGACGGAGCAAGGCCGCGUGAGUGAUGAAGGUCUCCGGAUCGUAAAACUCUGUUAUUAGGGAAGAACAUAUGUGUAAGUAACUGUGCACAUCUUGACGGUACCUAAUCAGAAAGCAACGGCUAACUACGUG
rnacentral:rRNA from 1 species